UGGUGGAGUGAUUUGUCUGGUUAAUUCCGUUAACGAACGAGACCUUAACCUGCUAAAUAGUUACGUUAACUUUGGUUGACGGCUAACUUCUUAGAGGGACUAUGGAUGUUUAAUCCAUAGAAGUUUGAGGCAAUAACA
rnacentral:rRNA from 1 species